CUCAGCUACAACAACCAAACAUUGGCAUGCCUUUAACAGUCUGAGUUUAAACCAGGGCAUGGAGAUGGUGCUGUGCUGUGGUUGGCUCAAGUUAUGGCAAGUGUCUGCCAUCAGAUCCCUCACCAUGAAAGGCCUGCAUGCUGAUGGACUCGAGGUGUCUGCCAUCAGAUCCCUCACUAUGGACUGCAUGCUGACAGACUUCCCUGGGCCUGCUACCUGAGACCUGCUGCUUCCUCCCGGACUUACUCUGCGGCUUCUUCCUGGACCCACCCGGUACCUGCACCCUCUCAUUGCCCAAGACCAGCCUCGCUGCUCCUGCCCUUCGGCCUCGGACCAUUGGAACGGCGUGUAAUGGGCCGUGUAACGGGACUACUGCUGGAUCCUGGUGGUGACUAUCCCCGCUUUACGCAAUUCUUGCUUCUUUCUAUCUUUUCUAUCACCCACCUUCCCUUCCCCAUCACCCCAAUCCGUAAUAGUGUCUGUCCUCCCCUUUCUUCAUUUCCUUUAUUAACAUUUGUAAUAAACUGGUCCGACCAACAUUUGAACCGUUGCUUCUUAAUCUCAUGCCGGGUAUACAUACAUCAAAGAACCUCCUCUCCCUCCUAUAAAUUGGAGCGAGGCACAUACACACAGGGCAUGAUGGAUCUGAGUGUGUACAACUGUCACAAGAGGCAGUCAGCACUGCGCUGCACCCUCUCCAACCCCUGGUUCUAGCCCAGGCAGUCCCAGUCACAAAGCAAUAGUCUGAUUGCUGAGUGAUAGGAACCCACCUGGGGCAGAGCCAUUGCCAUGACGGUGUGUCGCAGGGGUUGCAUGGGCUGCAUUGCAAGCUGUGCUGGGCCGCAUGUGGUCUGUGGGCCACUGGUUAGACAUGCCUGAGAUCCUUUGAGCACUUCCAGUUCAUAACCUUCAUAAAGGCUACAAGUUGAAAGAACUGUCGGUAUGAAGAUAUGCAGACCCAUUCAGAAUUUCAGUGCAAAACACCCUAUGCAAACUCCAGCUGAAAAUGGAAUUGGUUCACAACCAGCCGAAAGAUUUGAAACUGCUGAAAGAAAAGAAGUUGUUUCUUAUUUUUUGCAGCUAAAGGCAUUCACAUCACUAACUGUGUGAAAUGAAAAAUCUGUAAUGCGUUCCUGCAUUUCAUUUGCUCACUUGCCUAUAUUAAAAAUAUAUUCACUAAAAAAUGUCAGGGAUUCUACUCUUUGUCUCAUGGUGAUCUAGCUUUUCUUUCUCCCAUAGACUAAAUCUAUUACUGAUGAUGUUAAGCCUGAAAGUAAAGCAUUAAAAGAAACUCUGAGAUUUUAAAAACCCCAAUAAAUUCUAAAUAGUAGGAGGAAUCUUGGAAUGGAUUGUUUCUGCAUGUAUGCCUGCUGAUGUCAUUUGCAGUAAAUUUCAACUGCAUUUUCAUAUUUAGUUGAGUCAAGGGGAAAAUGAUAAUCUCAAAGAUGACAAAGUUAGGUCACUCUGAAAUAGUAGCCAUAGAUUAGAGCUGGGAAUAGAACAAAGAACAACACUGAUGUCAGAGAGGAGUAAUUCUACUUGAGAAACGGUAAGAGUAAUUCCAUGGAGAUAGUAGGCUGUUAAAAGCAUAAGACCAAUUUGCCAACAUAAUGUAUUGCUUGGAACUGCUAUUUUUGCUCUAAAUAAAAAAAUAUAUAAAAAAAUUAUCUGGUAAACACAUAAAUAAGGUAGACUUAAGUGGCUAACAGACAUGUCAGUUUAUCACAAGAAAUAUUAGCUUUCUUGUCACUAUUACUUGGAGUAAGUCUCCUGUGUUAGACAUAGCUAAUAAUGACUGUUAUGAAACAGGUGUUUAAUACUCUUAUGAAAUUAGAUGGACAUUAGCUUCCUACUCAGAAAAUCACCUUCAUAAAUGGAGCUCUGCUUGGAUGGCCUUAAUGGAGGAAAAAAGGCCAUUUGUGGUCUCUUAAGACAGAACAGUUAUUCUGCUUCUCUUCGAGAAGUAAUUUCUUUUUACUAGCUUGCAAACUAAACAUCGUGACCUCCUGGCUUGUUGUACCUUCUACCAUAGAAUACCAGUGAAAUAAAACGGUGACUGUACUAUAUUUGGUGUUUUAAAUAUCUUGCAUCUGGGUUCUGAAACAAGAUUUUUCAUUGCACUACCAAAAUUUCUGAAAUAAAGAAAAAUCUAGAAAAGACAAGACAUUACAUGGCAUGGUGAUGAUCUAUGGCAUCAAUACUGUAUAUUUUAUGUCAUAUUUUUGAAAAUACUUUAUCAUAGAAAAUACUUCAAGAAAUUGUUCAGCAGUCUUCUUUUAUAUUAGCCUUCUUGGUACAUCAUCUUUUCCUAUAUAUUCUGCAGGUGAUUUUAUUCUCUAUUUUUGCUGCAAGGCAAAAGGGCAACUGAAUAUUUGGUAAAGGUUG
ensembl:lncRNA